GGAAGUACUCUUGGCCUUGGAGCUGGAGUUACUUUAGUUCUUGGAGCUGGCUUUGGCGUUGGCUUCGGGUCAGGAACAACUGGAAGGAGCUGAUUGUAACCGCUGUGACCAGCAUGAAGUCUUGCUAACACUCCGAUCAACGGAGCAUUGUUGUAAGUGGCAGGCUCAGUUUGCUCAUAGUUAUCUCUUUGAUCAGCAAAGUUGUCAUAGGCAUCAGGUCCACCAACAAGAGCACCAGUAAGGAGAUUAGGAUCGC
rnacentral:misc_RNA from 1 species